rnacentral:SRP_RNA from 1 species
GCCAGGCAUGGUGGCGCGUGCCUGUAGUCCCAACUACUCAGGAGGCUGAGGCAGGAGGAUCACCUGAGCCCAGGAAGUCAAGGCUGCAGUGAGCUAUGAUGGCAUCACUGCAUUCCAGCCUGGGUGACAAGGCGAGACCCUGUCUCAA